rnacentral:rRNA from 1 species
GACGAGGGGUCCUAGCGUUGUUCGGAAUCACUGGGCGUAAAGCGCAUGUAGGCGGCUUUUCAAGUCAGAUGUGAAAGCCCCUGGCUUAACCAGGGAAAUGCAUUUGAAACUGUAAAGCUUGAGUAUGGGAGAGGAUGGUAGAAUUCCAGGUGUAGUGGUGAAAUACGUAGAUAUCUGGAGGAACACCGGUGGCGAAGGCGGCCAUCUGGCCUAAUACUGACGCUGAGAUGCGAAAGUGCGGGGAUCAAACAGG